UGGGGUAUCGCCAAGCGGUAAGGCAACGGGUUCUGAUUCCGUCAUGCGAAGGUUCGAAUCCUUCUACCCUAGCCA
rnacentral:tRNA from 1 species